CAAAAUGAGACGUGACUUAUGUCACUACAUGUGUCUCUCUCGCCUCUGUAAAAGUUCUUUGUUCAUAGCACCCCUCAGUUCUUGGAUGUAGUGAAGGAGGACAUGAGGAUAGUUGGUGUGGGUGAGGAGGAUACAGAGGAUAGGGUUAAAUGGAGGCAGAUGAUUGGCUGUGGAGACCCCUGAAGGGAGCAGCCGAAAGGAAAAGAAGAAGAAGAGUUACAGUAGUGCCCACUAGUGGCAGCGAUGUGAAAUAACGUGAGCACUAUUUUGUGAGCGGGGGUGUCAUUCCCGCCAUAAGAACGUCAUGCGUCUGUAUCAUCCAAUGAGACUCGUCGGGGGUUUUAACCCCGCGAAACUGCAGCAGCAGAUCAGACAGUGAGUGAAGGGAGAGUGAAGAAGCUGCAGCAUGUGGUCUGCUGGGAGAAGCUGCUGCACCAGGGCAGGUUGGUGUCGAUUGCCCUUCACUGGAAGCCAAAGAAGGUGGCACAGUUACUUUUGAGUGUCGUCUGGAUCCCCCAGUCAACUUAUCAACAUACGCACUGGAUUUUAGGACAGCUGACCUCGACGAGGAGGUCUACGUGUAUCCAUCUGGGGACAGGAUUCCGACACAGAUGAUGGGGUACAGAAACAGGACGAGUCUCAUCCAGGAGCACCUGAGCAGUGGACUCAUUAGACUGAACCUGUCCCGGGUACAGCUGUCUGACAGUGGACCAUACAAAUGCUUCAUCCCCAAACUGAGGGUUGGCUGCACUUUCAACCUCACAGUUGUAAAACCGGAGGCACCAGACAGGAUAGAGGAUGAUAACAACAGUACGACAACACCUCCAGUGGAAAACCAGCCUGAGGAUGAAAAGGUUCAUUUCUCAGCCAGAGGACGUUAUGGUCUCAUUGGUGUUGGUGCUGUCCUUGGCAUCAUCAUCAUCAUCACCUUCAUCAUCCUGAAACGUAAACAGAUCCAGCAUUUCUGGAAGCAGCUCAGAGGAAGAGAGGACCAAAGAGCAGAGCCAGUGGAACAUGGACAUGAAAUGAUGGAACUGAACAGGGAAGCACCUGAGCUGGUGUGAACCUGGAGAGUCCUGCAGGAAACCUGGCACCUUGAACUGUGGGACGAUCUGCCCUUGCACAUUAGACAGGCCUCCUGUUUUUAGACCUUUUUAAAUGGCCUCAGAGGCAAUUUCAUUUAUUUAUCUUCUAUUUAUCGUCUAUAUUUAUGUUAGUUUUAUCCCUUUUGUAGUUCGUUUUUUU
rnacentral:lncRNA from 1 species